rnacentral:rRNA from 1 species
GAGGAAUAUUGGUCAAUGGGCGCAAGCCUGAACCAGCCAUCCCGCGUGAAGGAAGAAGGCCCUACGGGUUGUAAACUUCUUUUCUGUUUGAAGAAUAAGCUCGUCGAGACGAGUGAUGCCGGUAGGACAGGAAUAAGCAUCGGCUAACUCCGUGCCAGCAGCCGCGGUAAUACGGAGGAUGCAAGCGUUAUCCGGAUUUAUUGGGUUUAAAGGGUGCGCAGGUGGUUUAAUAAGUCAGUGGUGAAAGUCUGGCGCUUAACGUUAGGAUUGCCAUUGAUACUGUUAGACUUGAAUAUGGAUGAGGUAGGCGGAAUGUGUAGUGUAGCGGUGAAAUGCUUAGAUAUUACACAGAACACCGAUUGCGAAGGCAGCUUACUAAUCCAUCAUUGACGCUGAGGCACGAAAGCGUGGGGAUCAAACA